AGUGAACGCUGGCGGUAGGCCUAACACAUGCAAGUCGAACGGCAGCACAGUAAGAGCUUGCUCUUACGGGUGGCGAGUGGCGGACGGGUGAGGAAUACAUCGGAAUCUACUUUUUCGUGGGGGAUAACGUAGGGAAACUUACGCUAAUACCGCAUACGACCUACGGGUGAAAGCAGGGGAUCUUCGGACCUUGCGCGAUUGAAUGAGCCGAUGUCGGAUUAGCUAGUUGGCGGGGUAAAGGCCCACCAAGGCGACGAUCCGUAGCUGGUCUGAGAGGAUGAUCACCCACACGGGAACUGAGACACGGUCCAGCCCCCUAGGGGGGGCAGCAGGGGGGAAUUUUGGAAAAGGGGCGAAAGCCUGAUCCAGCCAAACCGGGGGGGUGAAGAAGGCCUUCGGGUUGUAAAGCCCUUUUGUUGGGAAAAAAAAGAAGCAGGUUAAAACCCCGCUUUUCUGACGGAACCAAAAGAAAAAGCACCGGCGAACUUCGU
rnacentral:rRNA from 1 species